GCCGGGCCCCGGGGUGCAGGACGUUCACAUAACUCGGGUAGGUAGGUCGCGCUCGGCCCAAUGGCAACAACACACCUCGUUACGAUCGGCCAGCUGACGGCGAAGAGGAGUAGAACGACGGCGAGACCCGUCCGACGACAGUCAACGUUGAAUUCGACUUAAACGUAGGCGGUGGAAGAAGGAACGGACACGAAGAACGUGCAGCGCCCUCGGUAGCCUGACCCCGAACUAGGCCAAUGAUAAGGAAACGAGUGUAACAGCCGGCGGCAACUGUCUUAUCGAUUAAUCGAAACUCAGCCGCGGCGUUCUCGUUUGACAGCCCGGGAAAUACGGGAAUCUUAAAUCCCCGCCCGAUCCGCGACCGCGCGUUUGGCAUUUCUGUUGAGAAACCAUCGUCGUUGAGCAAUUUCAUUUCGAGAGAUUCGUUUUUAACUCCAGUUUCAAGCUGAUAAUAUUGCAGCCUUUUCAAAAUUUGGUGAUUUUUAUGAGGGAUAUUGUAUUUUAGGAGAGAACCAUGAUUACAGGUACUUGCCUGUGUCCUAGUUUCUUUUUAUGAGAUUCUUGCUUCAUCCGCAUCCUUGAGAAUCGGAGUGGAACGAGCUGCUUUUAAACCGAAGAUGAUGGAUGAAUGAUUAAGCGAUGACGAGGUUAAAUCGCCUGUAUUUCCUGUUAUUUCAGCGAUUAUUUAUAGCAAACGCUGCUGACGCUGAUUGUAAUUUUGUAGUGGGAGUGAAAGAAGAAAAUGUCAUUUGGUAUCUCUUCUUUCCUUCUUUUUUUUCUAAUAAGACAUAAACUUCUAGUAAAUAAUGAUUUAAUAAAGUAAAUUAAUAUUUAAAA